GGGAAAUGCCUGCCUAGCUUUGAACUACAGGACGUUCCUCCAGACUUCUCUCUCCCUGGAUUCGCUUCCGUAGAUGAAACAGUCAAGCACAUAAAGAGUGCUAUGGACUCUCUUGUUUCAGGAUUCAACUUUAAGUCAGUGGGGUUACGGAUUUUUGAGGAUUUUGCUACAUCAUGGUAUUGGAUAUUAAUAGGUCUGGUGGUUGCUAUGGUUGUUAGCCUCAUGUUCCUCCUGCUUAUGAGAUAUCUGAUGUUCGUGCUACUGUUGGCUCUCAUCGUGG